UACAGAGGGUGCAAGCGUUAAUCGGAAUUACUGGGCGUAAAGCGUGCGUAGACGGUUAUUUAAGUCGGGUGUGAAAUCCCCGGGCUCAACCUGGGAAUUGCAUUCGAUACUGGAUAGCUAGAGUUCGGCAGAGGGAAGUGGAAUUUACGGUGUAGCAGUGAAAUGCGUAGAUAUCGUAAGGAAGACCAGUGGCGAAGGCGAGUCUCUGGACAGUUACUGACGCUGAGGCACGAAGGCCAGGGGAGCAAACGGG
rnacentral:rRNA from 1 species